GAAAGAUCAACAAGACGAGCAAGAGAAAACAGCAAGGAGUCUCUGGGGAAUCCAACUCAUGGCUGAGGUGAUGAAAUGUAAAUUGAGUCUGGAAACAAGGUCUCCAAGAUGCCUCCCUUCCCGUCUACGCUUCCCCAUGCACCAGCCCACACCAGAACAUAGGCUACUUGCUGAAGGGCACAGAGGUGACACAGAGGACAGCCCCACCAUGUUCCAUUUGGGUUCCACUAGCUCUGACACCAGUUUCCAGGGUCUCAUCCCAGCCCCACCUCUUCCUAACUGUGUAAC
ensembl:lncRNA